UACGUAGGGGGCAAGCGUUGUCCGGAUUUAUUGGGCGUAAAGAGCUCGUAGGUGGUUUGUCGCGUUGUUCGUGAAAACUCACAGCUCAACUGUGGGCGUGCGGGCGAUACGGGCAGACUUGAGUACUGCAGGGGAGACUGGAAUUCCUGGUGUAGCGGUGGAAUGCGCAGAUAUCAGGAGGAACACCGGUGGCGAAGGCGGGUCUCUGGGCAUUACCUGACGCUGAGGAGCGAAAGUGUGGGGAGCGAACAGG
rnacentral:rRNA from 1 species